rnacentral:lncRNA from 1 species
AUUUAAGAAAAUUAAUAAGACAAUUACAAAAUGAAAUUUUAGAAUUAAAAACAAAAGACUUAGAAAUAGAAACAAGAUUAACAUUAACCUUAGUAACAAAACCUUCAACCUCAAAUUCUUCUAAAAACAAUCAAGAGAUAGUAAUAGCAGAUAAACCUAACAAUGAAUAGUAUUUAAAAUUAAUAGAACAAUUAAUAUUUCAAAAAUGGUAUGUCAUGGUAACUAUUACAGUCGAAGAUUUUAAAGAAAC